rnacentral:ncRNA from 2 species
GAACAUCGACUAUGGUGAACUUGGUGAAAUUCCAAGACUGUCCCGCAACGGUUAAAGUCCGACCCCAGUAUGUUU